UGUGCCUACGGGGGGCAGCAGUGGGGAAUAUUGGGCAAUGGGCGCAAGCCUGACCCAGCAACGCCGCGUGAAGGAAGAAGGCUUUCGGGUUGUAAACUUCUUUUCUCAGGGACGAAGCAAGUGACGGUACCUGAGGGAUAUGCCACGGCUAACUAAGUGCCAGCAGCCGCGGUACUAGGUAGGUGGCAAGCGUUAUCCGGAUUUACUGGGUGUAAAGGGCGUGUAGGCGGGAAAGGAGGUCAGAGGUGAAUA
rnacentral:rRNA from 1 species